UACGUAGGGGGCAAGCGUUGUCCGGAUUUAUUGGGCGUAAAGAGCGUGUAGGCGGUUAGGUAGGUCCGUUGUGAAAACUCGAGGCUCAACCUCGAGACGCCGAUGGAAACCAUCUGACUAGAGUCCGGAAGAGGAGAGUGGAAUUCCUGGUGUAGCGGUGAAAUGCGCAGAUAUCAGGAAGAACACCCGUGGCUAAGGCGGCUCUCUAGUACGGUACUGACGCUGAGACGCGAAAGCGUGGGGAGCGAACAGGG
rnacentral:rRNA from 1 species